rnacentral:rRNA from 1 species
CAACUCGCCUACAUGAAGCUGGAAUCGCUAGUAAUCGCGGAUCAGCAUGCCGCGGUGAAUACGUUCCCGGGCCUUGUACACACCGCCCGUCACACCACGAGAGUUUGUAACACCCGAAGUCGGUGGAGUAACCGUAAGGAGCUAGCCGCCUAAGGUGGGACAGAUGAUUGGGGUGAAGUCGUAACAAGGUAGCCGUAUCGGAAGGUGCGGCUGGAUCACCUCCUUUCUAAGGA